ACUCCAAGAAAUGAAAUUGUGGAUGAAAUUAACAAAGUAAUGUUAGAUUGGUGAUAUGUCCCGGCUUUUACUGAUUUCUACCAUAAUUUUAGAAUGUUUUUAGAGUCGAUCUAGUCCUUUUUGUAUGUUUUGAGUCGUUUCAGGUGCAAUUAUGAUAAUAGGUUUUUAAGAUCAAUUAAUCCUAAAACACUAUCCUGUCGUUGUAGUAUUUUAGGUGUCAAUCCAAAUGGGUGUGAUGCAAACAGAUGAGAUAUGAUCAGAAGUUGCUAAGUAGAGCCAAGCAAUAUUUGGUUGGUUUUCUAAAGUCCUAGUGUUUGAUGCAGAAAACAUUAAAAAGUCACAGAAAUGACUGAUAUACUCGAUCGUAGGGUCGACUGCCAGAAGGGACCCUAUGAUCGAGUACAACGGGAUGACACAGAGUGAAAAUUCAGAAAUGGAGCAGUUUACUCUAUCACACAGUCUCACUGUUAGUAGCAAGGUGUGAUCGAGUAGAAUGGUUGAAAACU
rnacentral:sRNA from 1 species